ACGGAGGGUGCGAGCGUUAUUCGGAAUUACUGGGCGUAAAGCGCGUGUAGGCGGGAAGACAAGUCUGAUGUGAAAGCCCCGGGCUUAACCUGGGAAGUGCAUUGGAAACUGUAUUUCUUGAGUACUGGAGAGGAAGGGGGAAUUCCCGGUGUAGAGGUGAAAUUCGUAGAGAUCGGGAGGAAUAUCAGUGGCGAAGGCGCCCUUCUGGACGGAUACUGACGCUGAGACGCGAAAGCGUGGGGAGCAAACAG
rnacentral:rRNA from 1 species